UACGGAGGGUGCAAGCGUUAUCCGGAUUUACUGGGUUUAAAGGGUGCGUAGGCAGACAGGUAAGUCGGACGUGAAAUCCCUCGGCUUAACCGGGGAACUGCGUCCGAUACUGGAUGGCUUGAGUGUGGGAGAGGGAUGCGGAAUUCCAGGUGUAGCGGUGAAAUGCGUAGAUAUCUGGAGGAACACCGGUGGCGAAGGCGGCAUCCUGGACCACGACUGACGCUGAGUGAGCGAAAGCCAGGGGAGCAAACGGGG
rnacentral:rRNA from 1 species